GUGGGCUGGAGAGACGGCUCAGU
rnacentral:piRNA from 1 species